AAAGUCGUAACAAGGUUUCCGUAGGUGAACCUGCGGAAGGAUCAUUAUAAAAUUUUUUACAUUUAUUGUAAAAAAAAAAUGUAUUCAAAACCCAUACUCUUAAAAAAACAUUAUAUAUUUUUUAUAUAAUAUAUAUAUAUAAAAAUUAUUUAAAUAAUAAUUUAAAAAAGACAACUUUCAACAACGGAUCUCUUGGCUCUC
rnacentral:misc_RNA from 1 species